AGCGAACGCUGGCGGCAGGCCUAACACAUGCAAGUCGAGCGCCCCGCAAGGGGAGCGGCAGACGGGUGAGUAACACGUGGGAACGUGCCCUUCGGUUCGGAAUAGCCCGGGGAAACUCGGAGUAAUACCGGAUACGUCCGUAAGGAGAAAGAUUUAUCGCCGAAGGAGCGGCCCGCGUCUGAUUAGCUUGUUGGUGAGGUAACGGCUCCCCAAGGCUACGAUCAGUAGCUGGUCUGAGAGGAUGAUCAGCCACACUGGGACUGAGACACGGCCCAGACUCCUACGGGAGGCAGCAGUGGGGAAUAUUGGACAAUGGGCGCAAGCCUGAUCCAGCCAUGCCGCGUGAGUGAUGAAGGCCCUAGGGUUGUAAAGCUCUUUCGGCGGAGAAGAUAAUGACGGUACCCGCAGAAGAAGCCCCGGCCAACUUCGUGCCAGCCGCCGCAGUAAAAC
rnacentral:rRNA from 1 species